rnacentral:rRNA from 1 species
UACGGAGGGGGCUAGCGUUGUUCGGAAUUAUUGGGCGUAAAGCGCACGUAGGCGGCCCAUCAAGUUGGGGGUGAAAUCCCGGGGCUCAACCCCGAAACUGCCUCCAAAACUGCUGGUCUGGAGGUCGAGAGAGGUGAGUGGAAUUCCGAGUGUAGAGGUGAAAUUCGUAGAUAUUCGGAGGAACACCAGUGGCGAAGGCGGCUCACUGGCUCGAUACUGACGCUGAGGUGCGAAAGCGUGGGGAGCAAACAGG